UCUGAGCGUGCCCAGCCAGGACUGCCUGACGGAUAACCUUCUGCUCCAACAAGGCCAGUUCCUCCACGCCGAGACUCACGCCUAUUGUGCCAGGCACGGCGCACUCGGCCGCGCAGCCCCACAGGUGGGAUCGGCCGGCGCGGGCCUAUGGUUCCCGCCAGGCUAGGCAGUGGAGCGCCGCACAGCGCGCCUUCCCGCCUCCCAGCCGCCGCCCCAGCAGUUCCGACCCAGCGCCAGCAGGCCUGCUCGGUCGAUCUUCGAGCCGAAGAUGCGGCGGGGCUGGAAGAUGGCUCUGUCCGGGGGGCUGCGGUGCUGCCGCCGAGUACUGUCCUGGGUGCCAGUGCUCGUUAUUGUCCUCGUCGUGCUCUGGUCCUACUAUGCCUACGUCUUUGAGCUCUGCCUGGUGACUGUAUUGAGCCCAGCAGAAAAAGUUAUCUACCUCAUCCUCUACCAUGCCAUCUUUGUGUUCUUUGCUUGGACCUAUUGGAAAUCUAUCUUUACACUUCCACAGCAACCAAACCAGAAGUUCCACUUGUCAUAUACAGACAAGGAGCGCUAUGAAAAUGAAGAGAGACCUGAGGUCCAGAAGCAGAUGCUUGUUGAUAUGGCCAAGAAACUACCGGUUUACACAAGAACCGGGAGUGGAGCUGUACGAUUCUGUGACCGGUGCCAUCUGAUCAAGCCAGAUCGCUGCCACCACUGCUCUGUCUGUGCCAUGUGUGUAUUAAAAAUGGACCAUCACUGCCCUUGGGUUAAUAACUGCAUUGGAUUUUCCAACUACAAAUUCUUCCUUCAGUUCUUAGCUUAUUCUGUUCUCUACUGCCUGUACAUUGCCACAACAGUCUUCAGCUAUUUCAUCAAAUACUGGAGAGGGGAAUUGCCCAGUGUUCGCUCUAAGUUCCAUGUCCUUUUUCUCCUCUUUGUGGCCUGCAUGUUUUUUGUCAGCCUUGUGAUUCUCUUUGGUUACCAUUGUUGGCUUGUCAGCAGAAACAAAACUACCUUAGAGGCCUUCUGCACUCCGGUGUUUACAAGUGGCCCAGAGAAAAAUGGGUUCAACCUUGGCUUCAUCAAGAAUAUCCAACAGGUGUUUGGAGAUAACAAGAAGUUCUGGUUAAUACCUAUUGGGUCCAGCCCAGGUGAUGGACACUCCUUCCCUAUGAGGUCUAUGAAUGAGUCACAGAAUCCACUGCUUGCAAAUGAAGAGCCCUGGGAAGACAAUGAGGAUGACAACCGAGAUUAUCCAGAAGCUUCAUCAUCUCUUGCUGUGGAAACGGAAACGUAGCAGUUUCCACAUUUCCUGCAUCUCUCAGACAGGAAAUCUUGAAAUAAUAUUUUUAAAAUGCGGAGAGGCGGCAAGAUGGCGGAAUAGGCAGGAAGCACACUUAGUCCGGGGGGAGAGAAAGUUUAAUAUAAGUGGAGAUACUGCAGUGUCAAGGAAGAGUAGGGGAUGAAACAGCAGAGGAAACUCUUCCGGAACUAGUGAUUCACAGUGGACCUGCGUGGAGAGCGUGGGAGCCCAAGUUCGGGACACCAGCAGCAGACUCAACGCGCCAGCGCUGGAACGCGAGGACCCACCAUCUCCCAAGAAGCUUACAGAGUUCAGCGUUGGGAACCAUUCUAAUCUUCAAAAUAAGUCACCAUGCUGGAUUGAAAGCUUCAUGAUUUGAAAGCAUUCUGUCAAAUCCUUGCUUUGCAGAUGUUUCAGGACUUUACAAAUUGUUUAAUGUACUGACUGAACUUCAGUUUGGUAGCAGUUAAUUCAAGUCAGUUCUCUCUUCAUUUCUCCUGCCCCAAUCCAUGAAAACCUAAAUGUAAAGUAUAGCUUUUCAUUCAUCUUUUCAGGUAAAAGGGAAUUUAUAAGACUUCCUUGGAGUCUUUAGUUCCCCAAGAAAGACUAUCAAUCAUAUCUAUAGGGUCUUCUGGGUAUUGAAGAGAAUCAGACUACAGACUACAUUUGCUGCUUAUGUGUACGUGCGUUGGUAAACAUGUAUAUGUGCAGCACAUCUAUACAAAAUUCUGCUAACUGUUGUGAAAAUCAAGGUUUCUUUUUUAAAAAAUGGAGGCUUUUAUUUAAUCAUGCUUUUUACCUAAGGAGCAGUUUAAAUAUUUGCAGAGCUUUGAACCAACCCCAUAUCAGGUAUCUAAGUUUGAAAGGGAGAUUCAAUGCGCUGUGACCAAGGUGCUCAAACUGGGAAUUCAACAACAAUGUAAAACCUGUUCUCUGUCACAGAGGUUCCUAAAAGCACCACAGUUAAUAGAGAAGAUCAGCUUAGAUUUCGUUCCACUUUAUUAAACAUAAUAAUUAAUGUUUUAAAGAUUUUUAGUACCAGGCUGUGGUAAAAUUCUCCAAUUACUUUUAUUCAUGUCAUUGCUGCCUAUCUUUAUUUUAACCUUUAUAAAUGAUUUUCAUGAUGAAAAAAACCUAUAUGCCUAAGUUAUAGACCAUAGGUUUUCUCAAGGGUUUUAAGGAUGAAUUUCAGGUUUAAUUACAACACUGUUCAAAAGGGUAAAGUUUCACAGCUGACAUUAGCCUGAGGAUUAGCACUAAAGCUCUGUGUUUGCACAGUAGGGGUUAAUGUACAGAUAGUGAUAACUGAACAGUAAUAUGCCAGUCUUUUUUUUAACUUCAGUGGUGGCUCAGCCAUUAAGACAGUUUACAUCCAUUUCCCCAUUUAUUUAUAAUCAGCCUUUCUUUCAGUCCUAGUGCCUGAAUCAAUGAAUAUGGACACUAAUGCUGCUUCUUUAUACUAAUAAUACCUGACUAUUGAUAUUUCUCAUUUUUCAACCAGCACUCUAGUGCCCAGCUGCUGACAAUAAAAGCUCCAACUCUUACAGAGAUCAGUGGGAGUUAGAAGCAUCUUAUAGAUAUCAAGGAAUUGAACUCCUAGAGGUACGAUUAGGUAUACUAAAUUAUCCUCCUGAAAUCUUUUUGAGUAAAAAAGAGUUACCUGUCAAAUGAUUCAGUGGUGGGGCCACCAUGGAACUGAGAAGGUGAGCCAUCAGCUACUUAAAGCAACAACAAAGCCUGUUCAUUUGGGUCUCCUAGGUAAUUUUGAUAAAAAGUGAGACUUUUAACAGACAUUAAAUGAAUUGUGGUCAGCAGUUCAUCUGAGAGCAUACUAGAUAUGUCUUAACAUAUUAGGGCUGGGAACUGUUGCUCAAGCUCAAAAUCCAAAAAGCAACCUAGAAGACUAUGCACACUGGGCUUCAUAAUGAAAUCUUAUAUAUUCAAAUAGAAAGAUUCCCCCUCUGCUCUCCCUCCAAAACACCAUCUUAUUUAGGUUUCUCUCAAAAGUUUAUUUCGCCAUCCACAUGGUUUUAUGAUAGACAAGGCUGGCCUUCUACUCCUGUAGAGAUGCACCUUUCUUUAAAUGGAGGGCCAUGACUUACUUCACAGACAGUGGGCCUCAAAGCAAUCUUCCUUAUUCCCAUCUAUAUCAUCUUCUGCCAAGAGUUUAGGCAGAGCAGCUGCUAACUAUGAUUCAAAGUCAGGAAGGAUCAAGAAUGUCUUUAUUACACAGAGUGUAUCAGUACUCAGUUGUCACAGAAAUCAGGGCACAAAAGAUAGCAUCAGUGAACUACUGGGAAGCACUGGAAGGCUAAAUCUCAGGGGAGCCAUAAUGCAAAGCUAAUCGUUUAAUGUCUUAUAGACUUACACUGUCUAAAAAAAGGCCAAAUAAAUCAGGGUUUUGUCUUGGGGCUUGGAGAUAAAAGGAAACCAUAUCCCUAUCUUAGCACCUUGAUCACAGUUUUUUAUAGACUUGGAUAAGAUCUCUAUCUAUGGAAUUUGAGUAUUGACUUCUGUAUAUAAGCAUCCAACUGUUUGAUUAUUGAUCAAAAAGACAGAUGCACCCUGAUAUGGCUCCUUUCUUGCUUUUCCUUGGAGCCCUAUUCAGUAACCUCUGUGGGAUCUCAUCUCCCAAUCUUUGGUACUUCUUUUCCGUAUUUUCAAAAUGAAGGUACUCACUGUUAGGAUCCUACAGCUGAAAGGUGCUAUGUAACUCCCUAGUGCUCUUAUAUGUCUUUAGUUGCAGGACUGGAAUGAAAAGUUGAACCAUAAUGGUAUUUCUAAGCAAAUGAGUGUGUUCCAUUCUUUCUUCAAUACACUUGUUGCUGAUUUUUUUUCUUGCAGAGCUUUCAGUAUGUUGUUUAAUAUUCUUCCAUUUGUUUCAAUAAUGUCCUUGGGAAGAUAUAGAAUAGAAAUUAUUUUCCCCGUGGUACAGCAGGAAAAAUUAUUGGACAAAAGAGAUGAAAUGCCCUCCCAAAGAACAUAGCUAUCUUGAACAGAACUCACAGUUACCAUGUCCAAUAACUAGUAGAGUGACUUGGCUUCCCAGUAUUGGAAUUAGCAUGGAGCACCUUAGAACAUUAAGAGCAAUCAGGACAGGUUAACAUUCAAAGAGUCUGCUUUGUUCACAGUCUUAAAGUAUGCAAUUUAUACAGCUCUUCUUUUCUGUGAUAAAAAUGCAACAUAUGUGCCUCUUGCCCCCCGCUGGCGCUAUGUGACACAUGUUUCACACUGUAUGGACUCAGCCAGUGCCAUUAUCUCUUUUGACACCCCUCAUGGCAAAUCCUAGGGCUGCCUUUGCCAGGGAAAAGAAUGUGCUUCCCCAUAUUGAUGCCAAAUUGCACAAAGUGUAGACAUCGAGGUCAGUAGAGAUUUAAGCACAAUCCUAGCAGGUAUGUUUUAAGAAUAUUGACUAUAUAUUGUUGUAAUGUGCACAUGAAAUUUAACAAGGCCCAAGUCCGCAGGAAUAUACCAGUCAUUCAAAGCCUAUCCCUUUCAGCUGUCAUCACACUUAACCUACGUGCAGAUGUGCUUGUGCACAAACAUUUCCCCUACCCCAAUGCAGGCUGCUUGGUCACCAGGAGCAAACAAUUUAAAGGAAUGAUUUUCUGUCCUCUUUUUUUUUUUUUUAAAAAAGCACUUAUAACAAAGAACAUUCCAUUGAUAACAUUCCUGAACGUCUGCACUCGGAGUGGCUAGGAGACUCAGUGCAAAAGAUAUGUUCUGUGCAGAGGCAUAGAGGGCAUCUAUCAAGAUUGUCCAACCCUUCCAAAAUCCCAUGUUCCUAGAAAAUCCAUGCAUUCCAUCCAGUCAGUAGGAAGUGGUUGAUGAGGUAUGGUACAUCUGCAUUUCUUCAGGCAUAGCCGUAAUGUACCAUAUUAAAUUGUAGCCUUUUGCAUGUAGGUGUUAUAUAACAUAAUAAUGAAUGGGAGGCUCCUAAUAGCAUGCAACCCAUGACUGUUUACUUCCCCAAAAGGGCUAGGGCUGUAUCCUGCACAGUGUUUGAAACCAUUUCUUGUGCUCUUUGGAUCAGCCUGGUACAAGGCCAUUGGCAGAAUGAGUUUUUAAAAAAAUACAAUGAAUUCAAUAUGUCAGGAAAUAGAUUCGUAGAAGGGAAUGGUAUUAAAGGAAACAACAAUAAGAUAAGAUGCAUUCAAGGAAUAAUUGCUUUCACCCUGCUGGUUAAAUCAGCAAAGGAACACAGCAGGAAAGUUCGGACUAGGUCUUGGGUUAUAUGAAAUGUUUUGGAGAGCAAGAAACAGAAAAGCACUGGGGACCUCAGCAGUUAAGCUCAAGUUGCCAACUUGCUAUAAAUCUUUUUUUCCACCAAUCUGCUCAAAGUGAUUGUAUACAGUAUUCUUAAAACCAUGUGUCUUGCUGCAGAAAUACUGACAAAUUCUGGCCAGCUUUAUCUUCCUAUGUCCUUUAUUAAAGGUAUAUCCAUAAAAUUAUUGUU